rnacentral:rRNA from 1 species
CCCCUAGAUGUUCUGGGCCGCACGCGCGCUACACUGAACAGUUCAACAAGUCUUAACCUUGGCCGAUAGGUCUGGGUAAUCUUUGAACGCUGUUCGUGAUUGGGAUAGACCUUUGCAAUUAUGGGUCUUCAACGGGGAAUUCCUAGUAAACGCAAGUCAUCAGCUUGCAUUGAUUACGUCCCUGCCCUUUGUACACACCGCCCGUCGCACCUACCGAUUGAAUGGUCCGGUGAAAUCUCGGGACGGCGGCUUGGUCGCUUGCGUCCGACUGCUGAAACUUGAUUAAACCAUAUCAUUUAGAGGAAGGUGAAGUCGUAACA